GACGAACGCUGGCGGCGUGCCUAAUACAUGCAAGUAGGACGCACAGUUUAUACCGUAGCUUGCUACACCAUAGACUGUGAGUUGCGAACGGGUGAGUAACGCGUAGGUAACCUGCCUAUUAGAGGGGGAUAACUAUUGGAAACGAUAGCUAAUACCGCAUAACAGUAUGUAACACAUGUUAGAUGCUUGAAAGAUGCAAUUGCAUCGCUAGUAGAUGGACCUGCGUUGUAUUAGCUAGUAGGUAGGGUAAAGGCCUACCUAGGCAACGAUACAUAGCCGACCUGAGAGGGUGAUCGGCCACACUGGGACUGAGACACGGCCCAGACUCCUACGGGAGGCAGCAGUAGGGAAUCUUCGGCAAUGGGGGGAACCCUGACCGAGCAACGCCGCGUGAGUGAAGAAGGUUUUCGGAUCGUAAAGCUCUGUUGUUAAGGAAGAACGAGUGUGAGUAUGGAAAGUUCAUACUGUGACGGUACUUAACCAGAAAGGGACGGCUAACUACGUGCCAGCAGCCGCGGUAAUACGUAGGUCCCGAGCGUUGUCCGGAUUUAUUGGGCGUAAAGCGAGCGCAGGCGGUUAGAAAAGUCUGAAGUGAAAGGCAGUGGCUCAACCAUUGUAGGCUUUGGAAACUGUUUAACUUGAGUGCAGAAGGGGAGAGUGGAAUUCCAUGUGUAGCGGUGAAAUGCGUAGAUAUAUGGAGGAACACCGGUGGCGAAAGCGGCUCUCUGGUCUGUAACUGACGCUGAGGCUCGAAAGCGUGGGGAGCGAACAGG
rnacentral:rRNA from 1 species